rnacentral:lncRNA from 1 species
AUUUAAUUCUGGAUUACGGAACUAUGUAGAGUCAAUUUUAAAAAGACAUGUGUACGAACAUGACGCAAUUUGCUUAAAAUGUAGAACAAGAAUUCAACGAGAAAUUCAGGCUAACAAAUUAGUUAACAAUGUGACUGUUGCAGAAAAAAAUAAAAGCAAUGAAAAAAAAACAACCAAGCUCUGGAGGCGUCCUUAGUCCAAAAACCAUACAACUUCCAAUAUGUUCUACCACAAAAUCACACCGUAUGUGUAUUGUUUGUAAGAAGCAGAAUUCAAAUAGGCAUAAACUUAUUGUUGUUCCCAAUGAAGCCAAGACACAAACAUUUAUAGACAAGGGCAUCUUUAUUUCCACGAACAGUAGGUGUUGUUCUGAUCACCUUGUUGGUAAAUACUUCAAGCAAGAGGCUCUGAAAGCAUUAAAGCAUACUUCUCCGUCGACAUUCUUCAACCGUACGGAUGUAAACAACUUGUUGGAUAGAACCAGGUCAAUGCUAAAAGAUGUUGGAAAACUUAAUUUCGAUGUCCAGAUAGCUAUGUCAGAUGACGAUUUUGUUAAUCUCACUGGACUCACCAAACAACAGUUUGACGUUGUCGCCACACAUGUUACAGACUUAAGAAACUCUGAAGUACGCUCAAUAAGAACAUGUCUUGCUAUUCUCCUUGUAAAAUUACGCACUGGAUUAUCGAACACAAUCUUGGGAACUCUUUUCAGCCUUAAGUCCUACAAUAUACGGCGAGCCGUACACUCAGCU